GAGGAGCCGCACGCAUGCGAGGCACAGUGUAGCACGGAGCUCCCUUCAGCGAGUGCUAUGCCAUCACCAAGGGAAUUGUCAGCAUGUAUGGAGAAAGGGCACUCUGCUGAGCAGUUCUGUAAGCAAGAGUCCCUCACUGUCUGCAAUGGAAAAGUGCCAGCGGAGCGACGUUGGGAGGAGCAGGGUAUCUCUUUCUCACUGCGGGCCGCAGCUGCCGGGCGAACACAUGCCCGAGGCUGCCACCGCAUGGCCGGAGCACUGAGCUGAGGGAGGAGCGGCUCAACCCGCAGUUCUCCGGCGCUCCGAUGUUCGUAGAGAUCUUACAGAAAGCAACGUCUUUUCAGCCCCAACUUUGAGCUAAAUACCCAAGCUAUUGCACUGGAUUUGUUUGCUAUAAGUUCACAAAACUGCUUUAUGUCGUUGUUUUUUUUUUCCACGUGUCCUGGAAGAUUCUGUUAUGUCGAGCUAGUAAAAAUAAGCAACAAUAGAAACUACUUAGUAAAAUGAUUUUGCAGAGCCGUUUGGUUGCACUGCCCCGAUGUUAUGAUUUGCAUCCAUUGAUCUAAGUCCCGGGUACUAGAAAACAAAGGGCAAUCUUCAUCUUAUCAUGAUUUUUUCCGUUGUAAACCUUGAGGUUGUGCAAGCAAAAGUAGACCUCCUCAAAAUACAUGCCGUUUUAAUGUAUAUUUUCUUAUAAAAAAGAGAGAGAGAGGGAGAGAGAAAAUGCAGGCUAGUUUUUAUCUAGGAUUAUCAUUUAAAAACACUAACAUGAAAUUCAGUGUCCAUCUUAGCGCUUGGUGAUGGGAACUGAGAUUAUGCAGAGUCUUAAAGCAAGUUCGUGCCACGGUCUGGCUUUUCCCAGCUCCCAGUGCCUCCCUCAGCAGCUCCAUCCCGACUCCGAGGGUGGAAGUAAAGGAAAGUCUCACUAGCUGCAGCUAGUUACUGACCAACACUAGCAGGGGAGCUUUCUACUUCAUUUUAACAUCCUUCUUAUUUUAUUUUAUUUUAUUUUAUUUUAUUUUAUUUUAUUUUAUUUUAUUUUAUUUUAUUUUAUUAUUUUAUUUUAUUUUAAUAUUACUGCAUCAAGAAUUUUAUUUAGGUGUACUUAUUUAAUCUUGGACUGUGCUUUUCUUCUUCUUCUUUUUUUUUUUUUUCUUUUUUCCCCCCUUUUAACAGUGAUUACAGUGAAAACAGUAUUUGCCUUUAAGUUCUACUUGAUCUCUGAUAGGUCUAAAAAGCUGUUCCUCAGAUCAUUUGUACCAGUGUAACUAACUGUGGAGUAAAUCUUCUUUAUGUGGCUGUGUGGUUUUCUUUAAAAAUGAAUAAAG
rnacentral:lncRNA from 1 species